rnacentral:rRNA from 1 species
UACGUAGGGUGCAAGCGUUGUCCGGAAUUAUUGGGCGUAAAGAGCUCGUAGGCGGUUCGUCGCGUCGGCUGUGAAAACCUGAGGCUCAACCUCAGGCCUGCAGUCGAUACGGGCGGACUUGAGUACUGCAGGGGAGACUGGAAUUCCUGGUGUAGCGGUGAAAUGCGUAGAUACUGGGAGGAACACCGGUGGCGAAGGCGGCUACCUGGACCGGUUCCUGACGCUGAUGCGCGAAAGCGUGGGUAGCAAACAGG